GACGAACGCUGGCGGCGCGCCUAACACAUGCAAGUCGAACGGAGCUGAGAGAAGCUUGCUUUUCUUAGCUUAGUGGCGAACGGGUGAGUAACGCGUGAGUAACCUGCCCUGAGUGGGGGACAACAGUUGGAAACGACUGCUAAUACCGCAUAAGCCCACGAUCCGGCAUCGGAUUGAGGGAAAAGGAUUUAUUCGCUUCAGGAUGGACUCGCGUCCAAUUAGCUAGUUGGUGAGGUAACGGCCCACCAAGGCGACGAUUGGUAGCCGGACUGAGAGGUUGAACGGCCACAUUGGGACUGAGACACGGCCCAGACUCCUACGGGAGGCAGCAGUGGGGGAUAUUGCACAAUGGGGGAAACCCUGAUGCAGCGACGCCGCGUGGAGGAAGAAGGUUUUCGGAUUGUAAACUCCUGUCGUUAGGGACGAUAAUGACGGUACCUAACAAGAAAGCACCGGCUAACUACGUG
rnacentral:rRNA from 1 species